rnacentral:sRNA from 1 species
AGGUACCACUCACACUCCGGUUGCUCCGCGCCGUCCGCACCCACCUGACGACUGCGCGCUACGGUUUGCUAGCC